rnacentral:rRNA from 1 species
GACGAACGCUGGCGGCGUGCUUAACACAUGCAAGUCGAGCGGUAAGGCCCUUUCGGGGGUACACGAGCGGCGAACGGGUGAGUAACACGUGGGUGACCUGCCCUCAGCUCUGGGAUAAGCCUGGGAAACCGGGUCUAAUACUGGAUAUGACUCCAUGACGCAUGUUGUGGGGUGGAAAGCCUUGUGCGGCUGAGGAUGGGCCCGCGGCCUAUCAGCUUGUUGGUGGGGUGAGGCCUACCAAGGCGACGACGGGUAGCCGGCCUGAGAGGGCGACCGGCCACACUGGGACUGAGACACGGCCCAGACUCCUACGGGAGGCAGCAGUGGGGAAUCUUGCGCAAUGGGCGAAAGCCUGACGCAGCGACGCCGCGUGAGGGAUGACGGCCUCGGUUGUAACGUC